AAAAAUAAAAAGAACAACAUAGGGGCAAAUUUUGCCCCUACUCUUGAGAAGUUAGGGUUUGGGAGAGAGGAAGAAUAGAGAUGACAAAUAGUUGGAGAUCGAAUCCAAGGCAAGAAACUUGGAAGCAAUACUUCUCUCGGUGCUGGGAAAGGAGUUUGGGUGGUGGAUUCGCUCAUUCCGGCAAGAAUAUCUGAGAACGGACAAAGUUUAUUGAAGUUCAUGUACGAGAAUCGGAUGAAAAUCGGAGUUGAAUCGGACUUUGGGUAAACCGAUCGAAAACAGAAAAUGUGAGUUUUCCGUAUCUUUGGACGGCCUUAACUCAUCCUGUGUUCAAGAAAAAAUAUAUUGUAGAAGUAGACCUGCUACAAUUUUCAUGAAGAAACUUGUUUAUGGAUUAAGGACUUAAAGAUAAGAAAAUCAGAAGAAAAUAGAUAGAAGACGCCAUCUGGAAAUUUGAAACACACGCAGGAGAGAGAAAGAGACCGCCACGCGUCGACCGGCGAUGGAAGAGCGCGGCGGAGCCGGCGAGCGUCACGUGGCAGCGUUCCACUGGUGCGCUGAUUCUGGUCGACCCGUACGCCCGCCAAACCGGUCCGGAAACCUGCGGUCCAACCCAACUUUUCUCGCCAAUCACGGUUCGCCACGUGUCGCGCUCAGAAAAUUUGAAGGUAAGACCGCGGCCGCUGGGGUUCGAAACACGGCACUGCCCGGCGCGCAUGGGGAACCUGCUGGCGCAUGCAUGGCGCGUGGGACCCCAAUCUCUCACCCGUUUGACCUCCGUUUGCUUGUUUUCCGCCCCGAUUUCAACUCUGAUCCUAUUAUUAUGUGAAUUAGGUCCUAUCAAGGAAUUUUCAGAAUUUUUGGAAUCUUUUCCGACAAAUAAUUCGAGCUUGGGAAGGCACGCGUCAACCACUUAAGUAGCUGUUUGGAUUUUCACGAGCAAUACUUGUAGGAACCGCUAGGAACAAGCAUGCAAGCUACCACCCAUUAACUUAGUUAGCCGGACCUAGUAUAUUAGUAUGGAAACGGUGAAAAUGAAGUGAUUAAGGAAAGCUAGAUAUGAAAUGUUUAUUAAAUCUGUUUUAUUGAGAUUCUGAUAAAGUAUGUAUGCA